rnacentral:rRNA from 1 species
GAUGAACGCUGGCGGCGUGCUUAACACAUGCAAGUCGAACGGUGAACGAGGGAGCUUGCUCCCUCCGGAUCAGUGGCGAACGGGUGAGUAACACGUGAGCAAUCUGCCCUGGACUCUGGGAUAAGCGUUGGAAACGACGUCUAAUACCGGAUACGAGGCGUGGGGGCAUCCCCAACGCCUGGAAAGAACUUCGGUCCAGGAUGAGCUCGCGGCCUAUCAGGUAGUUGGUGAGGUAAUGGCUCACCAAGCCUACGACGGGUAGCCGGCCUGAGAGGGUGACCGGCCACACUGGGACUGAGACACUGCCCAGACUCCUACGGGAGGCAGCAGUGGGGAAUAUUGCACAAUGGGCGCAAGCCUGAUGCAGCAACGCCGCGUGAGGGACGACGGCCUUCGGGUUGUAAACCUCUUUUAGCAGGGAAGAAGCGAAAGUGAUGGUACCUGCAGAAAAAGCACCGGCUAACUACGUGCCAGCCGCCGCCGUAAGAC